rnacentral:rRNA from 1 species
GCAGCAGUAGGGAUCUUCCGCAAUGGGCGAAAGCCUGACGGAGCAACGCCGCGUGAGUGAUGAAGGGUUUCGGCUCGUAAAACUCUGUUAUUAGGGAAGAACAAAUGUGUAAGUAACUGUGCACAUCUUGACGGUACCUAAUCAGAAAGCCACGGCUAACUACGUGCCAGCAGCCGCGGUAAUACGUAGGUGGCAAGCGUUAUCCGGAAUUAUUGGGCGUAAAGCGCGCGUAGGCGGUUUCUUAAGUCUGAUGUGAAAGCCCACGGCUCAACCGUGGAGGGUCAUUGGAAACUGGGAAACUUGAGUGCAGAAGAGGAAAGUGGAAUUCCAUGUGUAGCGGUGAAAUGCGCAGAGAUAUGGAGGAACACCAGUGGCGAAGGCGACUUUCUGGUCUGUAACUGACGCUGAUGUGCGAAAGCGUGGGGAUCAAACAGGAUUAGAUACCCUGGUAGUCCACGCCGUAAACGAUGAGUGCUAAGUGUUAGGGGGUUUCCGCCCCUUAGUGCUGCAGCUAACGCAUUAAGCACUCCGCCUGGGGAGUACGACCGCAAGGUUGAAACUCAAAGGAAUUGACGGGGGCC